rnacentral:rRNA from 1 species
AGUGAACGCUGGCGGCGUGCCUAAUACAUGCAAGUCGAGCGGAAGGACGGUAAGCUUGCGUCUCUGAUGUUAGCGACGGACGGGUGGGUAACACAUGGAUAGUCAACCUCUAGUCCGGGGGGAAUUACGGAGGGCAAAUUACGCUAACACCGCAUAUUUUAUACGGGUGGAUCCAGAGGAUCUUACGGCCUUGCGCGACCGUAUGAGCCGAUGCCGGAUUAGCUAGUUGGUAGGGUAACGGCCCACCAAGGCAACGAUCCGUAGCUGGUCUGAGAGGAUGAUCGGCCACACUGGAACUGAGACACGGUCCAGACUCCUACGGGAGGCAGCAGUAGGGAAUCUUCCGCAAUGGGCGCAAGCCUGACGCAGCAACGCCGCGUGAGUGAUGAAGGUCUUCGGAUUGUAAAACUCUUUUAUUAGGGAAGAACAGAUGCGUAAGUAACUGUGCAUGUCUUGACGGUACCUAAUCAGAAAGCAACGGCUAACUUCGUG